GAAGCAAGCCAGACCGCCGCUGGUGCGAGAGCCGAAAGGCUGCACUGGAGGAAGGUCCGGACUGCACAGGGCAGCGCAGCAGCUAACGGCUGUCCACCGCGAGGUGAGGAUCAGAGCAACAGAGACGAGUCAAGGCGGGCUCCCGACCGGGUGGUCUGCGAGGCGCCGGCGCAAGCCGGCGGUCCGUGAGGCAACGCCGAACGGACUCGGGCGCAAGCCCGAACCGAGCAGCACCCAAAGCGGGUUCACCCGCUUUGGGUGAAACGGGCAAUCUCUGCGCGCAGCAACACCAAAUAGGCCGGCGAUGAUGUGGCUCCGCGGAGCCGGCGGGUAGGUGGCACCGAGCCGUGCAGCGAUGCACGGCCCAGAGGAAUGGCGGUCACGGCGGCGGGCUCGCAAGGGCCGGUCGCUGCACAGAAUCCGGCCUAUCGGCUCGCUUCACAC
rnacentral:RNase_P_RNA from 1 species